CGGCGAGUGAAGCGGCAACAGCUCAAAUUUGAAAUCUGGCCUCUUUGGGGUCCGAGUUGUAAUUUGUAGAGGAUGUUUCGGGUACCGCCCCGGUCUAAAUUUCUUGGAACAGAAUGUCAAAGAGGGUGAGAAUCCCGUCUUGGACCGGUGGUAGGGCCCAUGUGAAACUCCUUCGACGAGUCGAGUUGUUUGGGAAUGCAGCUCAAAAUGGGUGGUAUAUUUCAUCUAAAGCUAAAUAUUGGCCAGAGACCGAUAGCGCACAAGUAGAGUGAUCGAAAGAUGAAAAGAACUUUGAAAAGAGAGUUAAACAGUAUGUGAAAUUGUUGAAAGGGAAGCGCUUGCAACCAGACUUGAGCGCGGCGGUUCCCCCUUCCUUUUGGUUGGGUUACUCCGUCGUGUCCAGGCCAACAUCGGUUCUGGGGGUCGGUUAAAGGCUUGGGGAAUGUACCUACGUCUUCGGGCGUAGACUUAUAGCCCCGAGUGUCAUGCGACCUCCCGGGACCGAGGAACGCGCUUCGGCUCGGAUGUUGGCGUAAUGGUUGUAAGCGACCCGUCUUGAAACACGGACCAAGGAGUCUAACAUCUAUGCGAGUGUUUGGGUGUCAAACCCGGAACGCGGAAUGAAAGUGAACGGAGGUAGGAAGCUUUGGCUGCACUAUCGACCGAUCCUGAUGUCUUCGGAUGGAUUUGAGUAAGAGCAUAGCUGUUGGGACCCGAAAGAUGGUGAACUAUGCCUGAAUAGGGUGAAGCCAGAGGAAACUCUGGUGGAGGCUCGCAGCGGUUCUGACGUGCAAAUCGAUCGUCAAAUUUGGGUAUAGGGGCGAAAGACUAAUCGAACCAUUAACGACUAAAAAGUUAUAAUGAAAACAAAAUUAUAAGCUACUCGGUGGUUAAGUGUGGCCUCGAAAGAGGUCGCAAGUGCCCGGUUCUGGCGCGACACUAUCAAAUUGCGGGGACUCCCUAAAGCUUCGACGACCGCCUCACCUGUGAAAGCAGGUGUCAGGCACCAGGUUAAUGGCCUCGGGUAUGGUAAAACUGUCGAAGAUGUUUAACAAUGGGUAAUCCGCAGCCAAGUCCUACGGGGGGUGUCACCACCCCCUAUGGAUGCAGUUCACAGACUAAAUGGUAGUGGGCUCCCUACGCGUAGGGGGCUUAAGAUAUAGUCGGUCCCCCAGGGAAACCUGGGCGUAUACGCUAAAUCUAGGUACAGGACAGUCCUCCCCCUCCGGGGGGUGGGAGGUGCCUAGACGGGAACGGUACGGGCACCGGGGGAUAUCCCCCUAGGUGUCGGGUGUUAAACGCUGGUAGCUGGUUCCUGCCGAAGUUUCCCUCAGGAUAGCAGUAACGAAAUCAGUUUUAUGAGGUAAAGCGAAUGAUUAGAGGCCUUGGGGUUGAAACAACCUUAACCUAUUCUCAAACUUUAAAUAUGUAAGAAGUCCUUGUUGCUUAAUUGAACGUGGACAUUUGAAUGUAUCGUUACUAGUGGGCCAUUUUUGGUAAGCAGAACUGGCGAUGCGGGAUGAACCGAACGUGAGGUUAAGGUGCCGGAAUGCACGCUCAUCAGAUACCACAAAAGGUGUCAAUGCAUCUAGACAGCCGGACGGUGGCCAUGGAAGUCGGAAUCCGCUUAGGAGUGUGUAACAACUCACCGGCCGAAUGCAUUGGCCCUGAAAAUGGAUGGCGCUUAAGCGUGUUACCUAUACCUCGCCGUUAGGGUUGACAUGAUACCCUAACGAGUAGGCAGGCGUGGA
rnacentral:rRNA from 1 species